rnacentral:tRNA from 1 species
AUUGGUGUGGCAAAGUCCGGACAAUGCUAAAGACCUAAGUUCUUUUCACAGAGGUUCAAGUCCUCUUACCAAUU